AUUGAACGCUGGCGGCAGGCCUAACACAUGCAAGUCGAGCGAGAGGGGGAGGGGUGAGUAAUGUCUGGGAAACUGCGUGAUGGAGGGGGAUAACUACUGGAAACGGUAGCUAAUAUCGCACACCAUCAGAUGUGCGCAGAUGGGGUUAGCUCGUAGGUGGGGUAAUGGCUCACCUAGGCGACGAUCCCUAGCUGGUCUGAGAGGAUGACCAGCCACACUGGAACUGAGACACGGUCCAGACUCCUACGGGAGGCAGCAGUGGGGAAUAUUGCACAAUGGGCGCAAGCCUGAUGCAGCCAUGCCGCGUGUGUGAAGAAGGCCUUCGGGUUGUAAAGCACUUUCAGCGGGGAGGCGUUACCCGCAGAAGAAGCACCGGCUAACUCCGUGCCAGCAGCCGCGGUAAUAC
rnacentral:rRNA from 1 species